rnacentral:rRNA from 1 species
CAAUAGCGUAUAUUAAAGUUGUUGCGGUUAAAAAGCUCGUAGUUGGAUCUCGGCAGGCAGGGGGUGGUUCGCUCUUAGCGCUACUGCCCCAUUUGCCUGUGUGAUUGGCGGAGGUUUCGGGGUGCUCUUCGUUGAGUGACCCGGGGCGCCGUCAGGUUUACUUUGAAAAAAUUAGAGUGCUCAAAGCAGGCUUUUCACGCUUGAAUAUUCGUGCAUGGAAUAAUGGAAUAGGAACUCGUUUCUAUUUUGUUGGUUUUCGGAAAUCGAGUUAAUGAUUAUUAGGGACAAUUGGGGCAUUAGUAUUCAGACGACAGAGGUGAAAUUCUUGGACCGUCUGAAGACUAACUACUGCGAAAGCAUUUGCCAAGAGUGUUUUCAUUAA